rnacentral:rRNA from 1 species
UACGUAGGGCGCAAGCGUUAUCCGGAAUUAUUGGGCGUAAAGGGCUCGUAGGCGGUUUGUCGCGUCGGGAGUGAAAUCCACUGGCUUAACUGGUGGCUUGCUUUCGAUACGGGCAGACUGGAGGUAUGCAGGGGAGAACGGAAUUCCUGGUGUAGCGGUGAAGUGCGCAGAUAUCAGGAGGAACACCGGUGGCGAAGGCGGGUCUCUGGGCCGUAACUGACGCUGAGGAGCGAAAGCGUGGGGAGCGAACAGG